rnacentral:rRNA from 1 species
GAUGAACGCUGGCGGCUUUCCUAAUACAUGCAAGUCGAGCGAACAGACGAGGAGCUUGCUCCUCUGACGUUAGCGGCGGACGGGUGAGUAACACGUGGAUAACCUACCUAUAAGACUGGGAUAACUUCGGGAAACCGGAGCUAAUACCGGAUAAUAUAUUGAACCGCAUGGUUCAAUAGUGAAAGACGGUUUUGCUGUCACUUAUAGAUGGAUCCGCGCCGCAUUAGCUAGUUGGUAAGGUAACGGCUUACCAAGGCAACGAUGCGUAGCCGACCUGAGAGGGUGAUAGGCCACACUGGAACUGAGACACGGUCCAGACUCCUACGGGAGGCAGCAGUAGGGAAUCUUCCGCAAUGGGCGAAAGCCUGACGGAGCAACGCCGCGUGAGUGAUGAAGGUCUUCGGAUCGUAAAACUCGGGUAUUAGGGAAGAACAAAUGUGUAAGUAACUAUGCACGUCUUGACGGUACCUAAUCAGAAAGCCACGGCUAACUACGGG